AUACUUUUAUUUAGAUGAUGGAUUUACGCUACUCAAAAGCCUUGGCCUAUUUGUUUUUGAAAAAAAAAGAACUUUGAAUAAAUUCAGCUUUUUAGGAACGUUUUUUUUUUUUAAACCCAGUCACAAUAAUUUCUGUAGGAAGCGUGGAUGCCGUCCAGAAAAUAUAAAAAAAUAUAUUGACAAGCAAAACGAAUAAUACAUUAACAGUUCGAAAUGUAUCUACUACGUGGGCGGUGAGCACGUCUAAACCACCUACUCCAACAAGAGAAAAGUUAAAGGCACGGAAAACCGGAUAACUCUUGGAGCUAUGGAUUUUAUGCAAUAGCCGGUCAACAUCUUACCACCUCAAAUAUAAUCAAACACGUGAACAUUCUUUGGAAGAAAAAGGCAACUCCAUUUCUGCUGAAUGCACGAAGGGGGCGGCCGCCAGAGAGGAAUGGCGGUAUGUUGUGAAGCUUACCACCAACACCUGAAGUGAUGACCACGACCAUUCAGUCUAGAGCGAUACUGACUAGGAAGAAGAAUAUUAUUAAACCGGUGGAUUAUAAAAUAAUACACAUGACUGAAUUUAUCACAAGUUGUACAUUUUAAAGCGUGUCUAAUAUUAGAUGAUAACCAGUAUAAAAGUACUUUAA